GAUGAACGCUGGCGGCGUGCCUAAUACAUGCAAGUCGAGCGAGCAGACCAGGAGCUUGCUCCUCUGACGUUAGCGGCGGACGUGUGAGUAACACGUGGAGAACCUACCUAUAAGACUGGGAUAACUUCGGGAAACCGGAGCUAAUACCGGAUAAUAUAUUGAACCGCAUGGUUCAAUAGUGAAAGACGGUUUUGCUGUCACUUAUAGAUGGAUCCGCGCCGGAUUAGCUAGUUGGUAAGGUAACGGCUUACCAAGGCAACGAUGCGUAGCCGACCUGAGAGGGUGAUCGGCCACACUGGGACUGAGACACGGUCCAGACUCCUACGGGAGGCAGCAGUAGGGAAUCUUCCGCAAUGGGCGAAAGCCUGACGGAGCAGCGCCGCGUGAGUGAUGAAGGUCUUCGGAUCGUAAAACUCUGUUAGUAGGGAAGAACAAAUGUGUAAGUAACUAUGCACGUCUUGACGGUACCUAAUCAGAAAGCCACGGCUAACUACGUG
rnacentral:rRNA from 1 species